UUCGAUCUCUUGCACCAAAAACUUGCUGCAGCCCCUGGAAGAAGUUGAAAUUGGCUUUAAUAUAUGCCUUGCAUUUCAGCACAUCUCUGACAAACAGAGUGCCCAUUUGUCUUGUGCACUUAAUUAGAGCUUCAAGUUUUUACUUUGUCAUUCCACCACUAAGCUUUCAACUUUCUUUCUUCUCUUGACACGCUGCACCCACGAACACAUACUUGUCAUUUUCCUUUGUCAGUCUCGUUAUAUUUGCACAAUUUGGUUGAACAUCAUUCCUGCUCCCUUUUUCCUUGCUGUUGUACUUUGGUAAGUAUGGGAGUUGCGGUGGCAUAAAUUCCAGAGUUCUAGAAUUUGAUUCAGCGGCAUAAAAGGCGAGGACAACAACUGCAGUCAAGACUCCAGAGUUUCAAUUUGAGGGUGAGUCUGACUACUUAGACUUUGUUUAUUAUAUUUUUUUUUUUGUUAUUUGAGUUGGUGCUCUUGGGAAGAAAGGAUGGAAUUUGGGGACAUGCUUUAUGGUAUGGUGGUUUGAAAAAGAGACGAAGGCGGAAGGGAAAUUGCUCGUAUUGGUGUUUCAAAAGGCAGGUCCAUUUUAAUUUUGAGGGACUCUUC